rnacentral:rRNA from 1 species
UAGGGAAUCUUCCGCAAUGGGUGAAAGCCUGACGGAGCAACGCCGCGUGAGUGAUGAAGGUCUUCGGAUCGUAAAACUCUGUUAUUAGGGAAGAACAAAUGUGUAAGUAACUAUGCACGUCUUGACGGUACCUAAUCAGAAAGCCACGGCUAACUACGUGCCAGCAGCCGCGGUAAUACGUAGGUGGCAAGCGUUAUCCGGAAUUAUUGGGCGUAAAGCGCGCGUAGGCGGUUUUUUAAGUCUGAUGUGAAAGCCCACGGCUCAACCGUGGAGGGUCAUUGGAAACUGGAAAACUUGAGUGCAGAAGAGGAAAGUGGAAUUCCAUGUGUAGCGGUGAAAUGCGCAGAGAUAUGGAGGAACACCAGUGGCGACGGCGACUUUCUGGUCUGUAACUGACGCUGAUGUGCGAAAGCGUGGGGAUCAAACAGG